rnacentral:rRNA from 1 species
GUGGGGAAUAUUGGACAAUGGGCGAAAGCCUGAUCCAGCCAUGCCGCGUGUGUGAAGAAGGUCUUCGGAUUGUAAAGCACUUUAAGUUGGGAGGAAGGGCAGUAAGUUAAUACCUUGCUGUUUUGACGUUACCGACAGAAUAAGCACCGGCUAACUUCGUGCCAGCAGCCGCGGUAAUACGAAGGGUGCAAGCGUUAAUCGGAAUUACUGGGCGUAAAGCGCGCGUAGGUGGUUUUGUAAGUUGGAGGUGAAAUCCCCGGGCUCAACCUGGGAACUGCCUCAAAAACUGCAUGACUAGAGUACGGUAGAGGGUAGUGGAAUUUCCUGUGUAGCGGUGAAAUGCGUAGAUAUAGGAAGGAACACCAGUGGCGAAGGCGACUACCUGGACUGAUACUGACACUGAGGUGCGAAAGCGUGGGGAGCAAACAGGAUUAGAUACCCCGGUAGUCC